rnacentral:rRNA from 1 species
UACAGAGGGUGCAAGCGUUAAUCGGAAUUACUGGGCGUAAAGCGUGCGUAGGUGGGAACCUAAGUCGAAUGUGAAAUCCCCGGGCUUAACCUGGGAACUGCAUCCGAUACUGGGUUUCUGGAGUAUAGUAGAGGAAAGUGGAAUUCCCGGUGUAGCGGUGAAAUGCGUAGAUAUCGGGAGGAACAUCAGUGGCGAAGGCGACUUUCUGGACUAAUACUGACACUGAGGCACGAAAGCGUGGGGAGCAAACAGG